GCACAUACUAGGGGCAAAACUGAUUACGAUUCACAUCUGAAGAUAAAAUUGAGUAAAUGGACAUAAAUGAGGGCAAAUGGAUAAUUAGAAAAAAAACGGUUUUUUUUUCUCACGAGGUUGUCUGCAACACGAAGAGAGGAGGCGGGCGAGGGGAUGGGAUACAAGCUCCGUCAAAUCCAGCCGAGGCGGGCGAUGGGAGCGGAGGCGACCGGCGGAAGCCGCACCACGCGAUCGAAUCCAAUCGAGGCGGGCGAUGUAAGCCGAGGCGGGCGACGGGAUCAAGAGCGACGCGCAUCAGCAAGGCAGCCGAUUCAGCCGACGAGGGGAUGCUGGUGAAUCCGGUGCUUCCUCCCUCGCCACUCUUCGUCCAUGGUUUUUUCACUCCGGCAACACAAAUAUCCAUCAGCAUGGUGCUCGCUCAGGUAUUGUUCAUACUCGUGGUGGUCAAUUGAUUUGGGCAGAUCUUGAAGAGUCGUACUCGAAUCUUUAAUGGCUUCUGGAAACUGUAAAGAUUGACAAGGCAGAGUACCUGCACUCAGGGCCUUCUUCGUUACUCCCUCCGUCCGUCAAAGAGCGUACGUCUGGCUCCUAAUUUUUUCCCAAAAUAAGUGUACAUCUGGCUCCCCCACUGGUAAUUUUCCAUUCACCCCCCCAGUCUACGCCUCGAGGUCACCGAACCGAGCUGCGACCCAAUCCUCUCGUCCUCCCCCAAAUCGAAGCCGGUCUUCCUCCUCUCCCCCAAACUCUCUCCCUCCCGAUCCAAUCCCACAU